rnacentral:rRNA from 1 species
GAAUAGGGCACAAUGGAGGGAAGUCUGAUGCAGCAACGCCGCGUGAGUGAAGAAGGUUUUCGGAUCGUAAAGCUCUGUUUCGAAGGAAGAACAAGUACGGGAGUAACUGCCCGUACCUUGACGGUACCCCGGCAGAAGUCCACGGCUAACUACGUGCCAGCAGCCGCGGUAAGACGUAGGUGGCAAGCGGUGUCCGGAAUUAUUGGGCGUAAAGCGCGCGCAGGCGGUCCUUUAAGUCUGAUGUGAAAGCCCACGGCUCAACCGUGGAGGGUCAUUGGAAACUGGAGGACUUGAGUACAGAAGAGGAAAGCGGAAUUCCACGUGUAGCGGUGAAAUGCGUAGAGAUGUGGAGGAACACCAGUGGCGAAGGCGGCUUUCUGGUCUGUAACUGACGCUGAGGCGCGAAAGCGUGGGGAGCAAA